UACGAGAGGCCCAAACGUUAUUCGGAUUUACUGGGCUUAAAGAGUUCGUAGGCGGUCCAUCAAGUGGGGUGUGAAAUCCCUCGGCUCAACCGAGGAAUUGCGCUCCAAACUGUUGGGCUCGAGGGAGAUAGAGGUGAGCGGAACUGAUGGUGGAGCGGUGAAAUGCGUAGAUAUCUGGAGGAACACCGGUGGCGAAGGCGACAUCCUGGACCGGCAUUGACGCUGAGGCGCGAAAGCCAGGGGAGCAAACGGG
rnacentral:rRNA from 1 species